rnacentral:rRNA from 1 species
UACGGGGGGUGCGAGCGUUGUCCGGAAUCACUGGGCGUAAAGGGCGCGUAGGUGGUCUGAUAAGGGUGUGGUGAAAGCCCGGGGCUCAACCCCGGGUCGGCCGUGCCGACUGUUAGACUAGAGUACUGUAGGGGCAGGCGGAAUUCCGGGUGUAGCGGUGGAAUGCGUAGAGAUCCUGAGGAAGACCGGUGGCGAAGGCGGCCUGCUGGGCAGUUACUGACACUGAGGCGCGACAGCGUGGGGAGCAAACAGG